ensembl:lncRNA
CCUAGUUAGCGUACAUUGUCAACUUGACUCAGCCUAGAUGCCACCUGUCAGAGAAGCUUUGGUUGAGGAAUUGCCUAGAUCAGAUUGGUCUGUAGGUAUUUCUGGGGAAGGGUCAUGUGAUGGCUAUUCCUGGUUGUCAACUUGACGACAUCUGGAAUGAACUACAAUCCAGAAAUGGAGGGCACACCUCUGAUGCAGAUCUCCGGGCUGAAAGACACAGGUUUCUGACCACGAUAUUGACAUGGGAUAACACACGCUUUUGAUCCAGAUCUUGAGGCAUAGUGGCCAUGAAGAGCUUAGACCCAGGCAAGGUAGCACACGCUUUUAUCCCAGGAGACUGAGCCAAGCAGAUAUCUGAGUUCAAGGCCAGCUGGGGAUAGAGCAAGUUCCAAAUCCAGGUGUGUUGGUACACACUUUUAAUCUGGGCCAUACUUUCUGUUGGAGAUGUACACAAGGACAACGGAAGAUGGAAGGCUCACUUUUCUUUGCCAGCUUGAACAUACUUGCCAGCACCUCUGUUGGAACCUACUUCUUUGGGAUUCCGGCUUAUGCAGAAGACCAGCUGCACUACCUAGCCUCGUGGGAUGGAGCAACAACCAGAUUCUUGGACUUUCCAUUCACAGCUGCCCAUUGUUGUUGGGUUAGUUGGACUGCAGCCUACUUAUGAUUGGAAUGAACCCUCGAUCAAUAGGAGCAGAGUUCUGAAGACCCUUCCAGGAGACCCAAGGAAGAUGGUGGAGUGGUUCAAAGAUCUAAGAGCCAAGAGGUCAGUGGCAGUGUGUCUGUUGUGUAUCCAGAGGCCCGAGAACCAGGAGUGAAGAGGCUGGGAAGGAAUUGAUGUCUUAGCUGGAAUGGUUGGUUGGAGCCAAGGUGCAUUUAGCUCCCGCUGCCCUGUUCUACUCAGCCCCCUGUCUUAGCUUCCUUUCCAGGGAUAUGAUAAGACACCUUGAUAAAAGCUACUUAAAAGAGAAUGGAUUCAUUCCGGUUCACAGUUCAGGGUAUAGUCCACCAUAGUAGGGAAGUCAAGACAGCAGGAAGCUGAAACAGCUGUGUGCACAAUCAGUGUGUGAGUAGAGGGAUGAGUUCAUGUUCCUACUCAGCUCCAGCCCAGGGAAUGGUGCCACCCACAGUAGACAGGCCUUCCUACCUAGUUGAGGGAUGAGUUCAUGUUCCUACUCAGCUCCAGCCCAGGGAAUGGUGCCACCCACAGUAGACAGGCCUUCCUACCUAGUUGAGGGAUGAGUUCAUGUUCCUACUCAGCUCCAGCCCAGGGAAUGGUGCCACCCACAGUAGACAGGCCUUCCUACCUAGUUGAGGGAUGAGUUCAUGUUCCUACUCAGCUCCAGCC